GGGUUGUGAGGUUAAGCGACUAAGCGUACACGGUGGAUGCCCUGGCAGUCAGAGGCGAUGAAGGACGUGCUAAUCUGCGAUAAGCGUCGGUAAGGUGAUAUGAACCGUUAUAACCGGCGAUUUCCGAAUGGGGAAACCCAGUGUGNUAUGAACCGUUAUAACCGGCGAUUUCCGAAUGGGGAAACCCAGUGUGUUUCGACACACUAUCAUUAACUGAAUCCAUAGGUUAAUGAGGCGAACCGGGGGAACUGAAACAUCUAAGUACCCCGAGGAAAAGAAAUCAACCGAGAUUCCCCCAGUAGCGGCGAGCGAACGGGGAGCAGCCCAGAGCCUGAAUCAGUGUGUGUGUUAGUGGAAGCGUCUGGAAAGGCGCGCGAUACAGGGUGACAGCCCCGUACACAAAAAUGCACAUGCUGUGAGCUCGAUGAGUAGGGCGGGACACGUGGUAUCCUGUCUGAAUAUGGGGGGACCAUCCUCCAAGGCUAAAUACUCCUGACUGACCGAUAGUGAACCAGUACCGUGAGGGAAAGGCGAAAAGAACCCCGGCGAGGGGAGUGAAAAAGAACCUGAAACCGUGUACGUACAAGCAGUGGGAGCACGCUUAGGCGUGUGACUGCGUACCUUUUGUAUAAUGGGUCAGCGACUUAUAUUCUGUAGCAAGGUUAACCGAAUAGGGGAGCCGAAGGGAAACCGAGUCUUAACUGGGCGUUAAGUUGCAGGGUAUAGACCCGAAACCCGGUGAUCUAGCCAUGGGCAGGUUGAAGGUUGGGUAACACUAACUGGAGGACCGAACCGACUAAUGUUGAAAAAUUAGCGGAUGACUUGUGGCUGGGGGUGAAAGGCCAAUCAAACCGGGAGAUAGCUGGUUCUCCCCGAAAGCUAUUUAGGUAGCGCCUCGUGAAUUCAUCUCCGGGGGUAGAGCACUGUUUCGGCAAGGGGGUCAUCCCGACUUACCAACCCGAUGCAAACUGCGAAUACCGGAGAAUGUUAUCACGGGAGACACACGGCGGGUGCUAACGUCCGUCGUGAAGAGGGAAACAACCCAGACCGCCAGCUAAGGUCCCAAAGUCAUGGUUAAGUGGGAAACGAUGUGGGAAGGCCCAGACAGCCAGGAUGUUGGCUUAGAAGCAGCCAUCAUUUAAAGAAAGCGUAAUAGCUCACUGGUCGAGUCGGCCUGCGCGGAAGAUGUAACGGGGCUAAACCAUGCACCGAAGCUGCGGCAGCGACGCUUAUGCGUUGUUGGGUAGGGGAGCGUUCUGUAAGCCUGCGAAGGUGUGCUGUGAGGCAUGCUGGAGGUAUCAGAAGUGCGAAUGCUGACAUAAGUAACGAUAAAGCGGGUGAAAAGCCCGCUCGCCGGAAGACCAAGGGUUCCUGUCCAACGUUAAUCGGGGCAGGGUGAGUCGACCCCUAAGGCGAGGCCGAAAGGCGUAGUCGAUGGGAAACAGGUUAAUAUUCCUGUACUUGGUGUUACUGCGAAGGGGGGACGGAGAAGGCUAUGUUGGCCGGGCGACGGUUGUCCCGGUUUAAGCGUGUAGGCUGGUUUUCCAGGCAAAUCCGGAAAAUCAAGGCUGAGGCGUGAUGACGAGGCACUACGGUGCUGAAGCAACAAAUGCCCUGCUUCCAGGAAAAGCCUCUAAGCAUCAGGUAACAUCAAAUCGUACCCCAAACCGACACAGGUGGUCAGGUAGAGAAUACCAAGGCGCUUGAGAGAACUCGGGUGAAGGAACUAGGCAAAAUGGUGCCGUAACUUCGGGAGAAGGCACGCUGAUAUGUAGGUGAAGUCCCUCGCGGAUGGAGCUGAAAUCAGUCGAAGAUACCAGCUGGCUGCAACUGUUUAUUAAAAACACAGCACUGUGCAAACACGAAAGUGGACGUAUACGGUGUGACGCCUGCCCGGUGCCGGAAGGUUAAUUGAUGUGGUUAGCGCAAGCGAAGCUCUUGAUCGAAGCCCCGGUAAACGGCGGCCGUAACUAUAACGGUCCUAAGGUAGCGAAAUUCCUUGUCGGGUAAGUUCCGACCUGCACGAAUGGCGUAAUGAUGGCCAGGCUGUCUCCACCCGAGACUCAGUGAAAUUGAACUCGCUGUGAAGAUGCAGUGUACCCGCGGCAAGACGGAAAGACCCCGUGAACCUUUACUAUAGCUUGACACUGAACAUUGAGCCUUGAUGUGUAGGAUAGGUGGGAGGCUUUGAAGUGUGGACGCCAGUCUGCAUGGAGCCGACCUUGAAAUACCACCCUUUAAUGUUUGAUGUUCUAACGUUGACCCGUAAUCCGGGUUGCGGACAGUGUCUGGUGGGUAGUUUGACUGGGGCGGUCUCCUCCUAAAGAGUAACGGAGGAGCACGAAGGUUGGCUAAUCCUGGUCGGACAUCAGGAGGUUAGUGCAAUGGCAUAAGCCAGCUUGACUGCGAGCGUGACGGCGCGAGCAGGUGCGAAAGCAGGUCAUAGUGAUCCGGUGGUUCUGAAUGGAAGGGCCAUCGCUCAACGGAUAAAAGGUACUCCGGGGAUAACAGGCUGAUACCGCCCAAGAGUUCAUAUCGACGGCGGUGUUUGGCACCUCGAUGUCGGCUCAUCACAUCCUGGGGCUGAAGUAGGUCCCAAGGGUAUGGCUGUUCGCCAUUUAAAGUGGUACGCGAGCUGGGUUUAGAACGUCGUGAGACAGUUCGGUCCCUAUCUGCCGUGGGCGCUGGAGAA
rnacentral:rRNA from 1 species